rnacentral:rRNA from 1 species
CGCCUCACAACUAGCCCAAAGAUAUUUUAAAUCAACAACUAAUUAUUUAUACCCCUUGAAUUCCCCAAAGAGACAAACAAACCAUUUUCCCUUCUUAGUAUGGGAGACAGAAAAGAAAAUCAGGAGCAAUAGAAAUAGUACCGCAAGGGAAAGUUGAAAAAGAAAUGAAAUAAACCAUUUAAGCCCUAAAAAGCAGAGAUAUAGCCUCGUACCUUUUGCAUCAUGACUUAGCCAGCACUAUUCGAGCACAGCGUUCUUUAGUUCGACACCCCGAAACUAGACGAGCUACUCCAAGACAGCCUAUAAUAAUAGGGCAAACCCGUCUCUGUCGCAAAAGAGUGGGAAGAGCUUUGAGUAGCGGUGACAGACCUAUCGAGUCUAGUUAUAGCUGGUUGCCCAAGAAAUGGAUAUAAGUUCAGCCCCUUAGAUUUUCCCGCCCCCGCCCAGUCUUCACUAAAACUGGACUACAAGGCAAGCUAAGGGUGUUAGUCAAAGGAGGUACAGCUCCUUUGAAACAAGACACAACUUUAUCAGGAGGGUAAAGAUCAUAAGUACCAAGGAAAAUAUUGUGCCCCAGUGGGCCUAAAAGCAGCCAUCCGCACAGAAAGCGUUAAAGCUCAGACACUCCUCCCCCACCUUAAAUCCCGACAAAUAUAUCUUAACCCCCUAAUCCUAUUGGGCCCUCCCAUGCCCCCAUGGAAAAAAUACUGCUAACAUGAGUAACAAGAAAACCCCAGAUUUUCUCCUUGCACACAUGUAAGUCGGAUCGGACUCCCCACCGACCCCUAACCGGACCCAAUCAAAGAGGGUAUGAAAGAGACGAGUAGCCCCCAAGAAAACCAUUUGAUUACCCACCGUUAACCCCACACUGGCGUGCCCACAAGGAAAGACUAAAAGAGAAAAAAGGAACUCGGCAAACAUAAGCCUCGCCUGUUUACCAAAAACACCGCCUCUUGCCAACAAAAUAUAAGAGGUCCCGCCUGCCCUGUGACUAUAUGUUUAACGGCCGCGGUAUUUUGACCGUGCAAAGGUAGCGCAAUCACUUGUCUUUUAAAUGAAGACCCGUAUGAAUGGCUUGACGAGGGCUUAGCUGUCUCUUUUCUCUAGUCAGUGAAAUUGAUCUCCCCGUGCAGAAGCGGGGAUAUUUACAUAAGACGAGAAGACCCUAUGAAGCUUUAGACGCAAAGCGAACCAAACCACCCUGCCCAAAAAUCAAAAGGGGCAAUAAAAUGGCACCCCGCUCAAUGUCUUUGGUUGGGGCGACCCUGGGGAAAAACGAAACCCCCGCGCGGAACAGAAAACACUCCUUCCACAACCAAGAGCCCCCGCUCUAAGUAACAGAACAUCUGACCAUUAACGAUCCAGCAAGCUGAUCAACGGACCAAGUUACUCUAGGGAUAACAGCGCAAUCCCCUCCCAGAGCCCAUAUCGACGAGGGGGUUUACGACCUCGAUGUUGGAUCAGGAUAUCCUACUGGUGUAGCCGCUAUUAAGGGUUCGUUUGUUCAACGAUUAAAAUCCUACGUGAUCUGAGUUCAGACCGGAGUAAUCCAGGUCAGUUUCUAUCUAUGAUGUGAUCUCUUUCUAGUACGAAAGGACCGAAGAGAAAAGGCCCCUGCUAAAGGCACACCUUCCCCCCGCCUAAUGAAUUCAACUAAAAUAGGAAAGGGAGCACAUCCCCUUAAGCCCAAAAUUAGGGCCU